GUCCUACGGGGCGCAGCAGUGAGGAAUAUUGGUCAAUGGGCGGGAGCCUGAACCAGCCAAGUCGCGUGAGGGAAGACGGUCCUAUGGAUUGUAAACCUCUUUAGGCGGGGAGCAAUGCCGGGCACGCGUGCCCGGAGGGAGAGUACCCGCAGAAUAAGCAUCGGCUAACUCCGUGCCAGCAGCCGCGGUUAUACGGAGGAUGCGAGCGUUAUCCGGAUUUACUGGGUUUAAAGGGUGCGUAGGCGGACGGUCAAGUCAGCGGUAAAAAUGCGGUGCUCAACGCCGUACAGCCGUUGAAACUGGCA
rnacentral:rRNA from 1 species